CCUACGGGUGGCAGCAGUGGGGGAUAUUGCACAAUGGGGGAAACCCUGAUGCAGCGACGCCGCGUGUGGGAAGACGGUCCUCUGGAUUGUAAACUACUGUCCCCAGGGACGAAGAUGACGGUACCUGGGGAGGACGCUCCGGCUAACUACGGGCCAGCAGCCUCGGUAAUACGUAGGGAGUGAGCGGUGUCCGGAUUUACUGGGUGUAACGGGAGCGUAGGCGGGAUGGCAAGUUGGGGGUUAAAUCUACCGGCUCAACUGGUAGUCGCACUCAAAACUGCUGUUCUUGAGUGAAGUAGAGGCAGGCGGAAUGCCUAGUGUAGCGGUGAAAUGCGUAGAUAUUAGGAGGAACACCAGUGGCGAAGGCGGCCUGCUGGGCUUUUACUGACGCUGAGGCUCGAAAGUGUGGGGAGCAAACAGGAUUAGAUACCCCAGUAGUC
rnacentral:rRNA from 1 species